rnacentral:lncRNA from 1 species
CCGUAAUCUCCUUCAACCCGAAUGCAACCAUCCCAACACCAGAAAUUGACAUCGAUUGGAAUUGCCACAGGUACCCGGCCUUAAUCGAUUGUCUCCCUCACAGAAGCAAAGAUUUUGAGUUUCAAUCAUUAGGACACAAACCUUCCACCACUGAAUCGAUAGUACCUAAACAUGGACGACCCAUCACUUUAGCUGUAGAAGAGAAGUUCCCGUCGACUACCUUCCGAUCGACCAUGAGAAAGGAACUGUCGCAGCCUGCAGCAAAACUCCAAGGCAUCAGCUCUUUCCUACUACCUACAACCUGUAGGCACGCCAUUUGUCUAAUCUUGCAGCCGACGGUGAGAUUUUCAAUUCACGCCCAUUGACUAAACUUCAAUCCAUCGCAACUAUGACGUUGGUCGAAAAUGCUGGGCACGAACGUCAUCUACAGUCGUCAUUCCUCUUCACCCGUGCGAAUUGCCAUGGAUCCCAUCUACUCUUCAGUACAGUUGAUCUCCUAUUACAAAGUUUUUUUUUAUUAAACUUAUUAUUCUAUAGACUCUUUGUACAAACCGUGGUUCACCUAUGAUAUAUUCUCAAUCUCUUGCCAUAGUCAUUGAAAUACCCGAACUCGUCGACCUCAUACGCUCCUCCCGAUCAGAGGCAGCCGAGAGCCUGUAGGAAUGCUCAAUGGAAUUCUUAUGAGACGAAGAUAUUUAUGUCUGCUUGAGAUGGCUCAUUGUCGAAGGACACCGAAAUAGGAAGCGUUUCACGAAACACGGCUGGGAGACACUGGUUUACUUGUUCAAUUCCAACUCUAUGCAUAAUUGGACCAAGCAGCAAUUAAAAAAUCGAUGGGAUGCUCUUCGCCUGAAACACAAGAGAUUUGAGGAGUUGCUGAACUCCAGCGGCAUUGUGUAUGACCCAUCGACCGACAAAUUUGAUAGACGGAGGAGUGGUGGGCUUGAAAGAUCAAGGUACCAUCGUUCUGUGACUCAUCGACCAUUUCCAGGCUUUUGUAUGAGAUUUGAAUGUCCUGUGGUUGUUUCAUUAAAUUCAUUACGCAUGAUUUUCUGUUAAAUGUCAUAAAUGCUGGUCAUUUUGAUUUUCGAUGAAUGCGUUUGCUUUGUGAGUGACUGGAGUUAGAUGUGUCUACGAUGUAAUGAGGAUGAUUUGAACGAAAGCCAUUUCCAUAUCACCGUUCUUGUGUUCAUGUAUUCGCCUGUUUGCUGAGAUUUCAUUUUUCCAUUGGUCCAACCGAGUAGGAAUUACAUCGGGCUAAACCUAAAAGCAUUCCGUUAAUGCAAUUUUUUCUUGGGAAAUUACGAUUCAAUUCCUUUAUGCUUCCAUCCAUGCAUUUCAUUCAUAUGUGUUUGUAUAACAUAUAUGAUGACACUGUCCGUUUGUACUGGCACAGGAGAACAAAGAUUACAAAGAGUUUAAGGACAACGAUUGUCGCGAGGUGUACAGCUAUAAGGCUCUGUUCGAGGAUGCGUUCAAUAGUGAUAGGUAUGCAGUCACGCCGAUAAAGCUCUGUCGAACUGGGUUCACGAUGUUCAAAGACAAUUGAUACGAAGAACACCGUGAUGAGGUUCCAAUUGAUAUCGAGAGCAGUGAUCAAGUGACGAGCCUGACACACUAGACGGGGCUGCAGCAAGCAUAGAUGUGUCCUGCUUGCAUAGCAAGGACAAGUGGAAUUUUGACACUGGGAAGAAAAAAGGGAAGAAGAAGAAAAUUUUCGCAUACGAACUUUUGUACUACGUCGAUUGGGCGACGACGGCCAGUGAAAAUGUUGCUGUCAAAAUUGACAGCUUUUAUUGGCCUUGCUGUGACCAACCCGAAUACCUGCAAGAAGGAGUUGUUGUCGAAGAGUCGACUAGAAAAGAGAACAGAUCUAUACUUCUGGACGUGCACUUACCUGUCCCAAAGGCGCAAUAGGGAGAUAUUGGACAUGCAGGACAAUGCGAAUGAGAAAUUUGUGUUGGUCGAGUGGAAAUGGAAGGAGUACAGGAGAGCACAACCCCGAUGAUAUUGCAGUGAGACAUCAAUUUGUUGUUUUCUCUAACUCUAUGUCUUAUGAAAACAUUUGGUCAAACUUCGUUAUAUAUUAACUUUUUAUGUCAG